rnacentral:rRNA from 1 species
GAAUAUUGGACAAUGGGGGCAACCCUGCUCCAGCCAUGCCGCGUGUGUGAAGAAGGCCUCUUGGUUGUACAGCACCUUAAGCGGUGACGAAGCCUCCAUGGUUAAUCCCCACGCACGAUGACGUUAGCUCCAGCAUAAGCCCCGGCCAACUCGGUGCCAGCAGCCGCGGUAAUACAGAGGGUGCAAGCGUUAAUCGGAAUUACUGGGCGUAAAGCGAGCGUAGGUGGCUUGAUAAGUCAGAUGUGAAAUCCCCGGGCUUAACUUGGGAACUGCAUCUGAUACUGUUAGGCGAGAAUAGGUGAGAGGAAGGUAGAAUUCCAGGUGUAGCGGUGAAAUGCGUAGAGAUCUGGAGGAAUACCGAUGGCGAAGGCAGCCUUCUGGCAUCAUAUUGACACUGAGGUUCGAAAGCGUGGGUAGCAAAC